AGAUUGGACAGGUGAAGAUGAAGAACCAGAUGAUAUCAAUGUGUGGGAAGAUAACUGGGAUGAUGACAACAUUGAUGAUGACUUCUCUAAGCAGUUGAGGGCAGAGCUAGAAAAGCAAGGGAAAAGCUUGGACAGCUCAGAACCAAUGAAGACAUAGUUAAUCAGAUGUUUUUUUGUUCUGUUGAUUAUGUGUGUAUGUAUCUAAUAAUGGUGUGAAUGAACAAGAAAUCAUACAAAUGAUCUAAAUCCUAUCUGGCACAAGACACAAUUUGAAAUGUUGGUUGCAUUAUUUUUACAAUUGUUCUUGAAAAGUCAUGAUCAACAACUUAUUAUUUGGCAGACGUGGUUUCUGUUUCUUUUUUUCUUUUUUUUAAAUGAGCACAGCAAACAUCAUAAAGGAUUUUUUGCAAACUUCUGGAUACAUUUCUGCUAUGGUUAUUUUUAAAACAAGGAAUUGAAUAAAUUAUUUUAAUUUGA
rnacentral:sRNA from 1 species